UGUAUCCUUGUUACUCAGGUGUGAGACGUCACAUGAUGUUUUCCAAAGAAAAGGAAGAUGCCACCUGGGAGAGGAGCCUGGACUGGUGCUGAGGCUGAGAACCUGGGCUGAGACGAGUUUGUGCACUCACUGGGAUCUGGCUGAUGUCAAUAAUCUCUACUAUGCAAAUGAGCACACACAAAAAAAGAAGGGUCUUGUCUAGACCAGAAAUCAGAAAGAACUCAGUGGGAGGUCGCCAAAGGGUGUGGUACAGCUGGAAACAGAAAAAUUGUUUCAUCUGGCCUUGAACAGGAUAUUCAGCAGACUAGCUCCAGGGAGGCGGCUAACAAUGCAGAGCCCAGAGGCCCCAUGAGGAGAGGCCAAAAAGUUGCUGAGAAGAGAAUUCAAGACGAAUGCUCACAGCCUCUGUCAGAGGAAUGUGAAUGGGGAAUUAGAGAUCUAGCAUCAGGGAAACUCCCUUUGCAGAUCUAUUUUUAGUGAAAACUCUUCAGAGAAUUACCCACCACACUCCUAAGUCCAAUGGCGGCAUCUCUGUUUUCUUCUAUUGGACUGAUCAGCAUCACAUGGCCCAGGCUCCCGCUACCUCCUUGGUUUCUGGGACACCAUCUUCACUGGUUUCCUCUGAUCCACCUGGCUGCUUCUCAGUCGGAGCUCUCAGCCGCUUCCUCCACUCCUUCAGCUAUUUGUAAGGCCUCCCCAGACAGCCAUUUUGCCGGGAGGAGCAACCCGAGGAGCGGUGGCUGCACAGGCACAGGAGGGCCUAGAGGAGCUAUCCCACGUUGAAG
ensembl:lncRNA